rnacentral:misc_RNA from 1 species
UUUCCGUAGGUGAACCUGCGGAAGGAUCAUUAUUGUAUAACCGAUGUACGAGGGCUGUCGUUUACCCUAAAGGUCGUUCACGCCCGAGUUCCCUCAGACACAUCCAUAUCACCGCUAUGUAUACCACCGCGUGCGUCCCCCUUUGUCUUGCUCGAUUGAGUGCUUACGUUUUCACACAAACUUUAUAUGCAAUGUAGAAUGUAUAUAUUAUUUUUACGAACACGCACUUAAUACAACUUUCAACAAAGGAUCUCUUGACUCUCGAAUAGAAGAAGAAUG